AACAGAAAGAGGCAAGUUAAUGUUUGUUCUGUUGAUUUGUGGACUCGAUGAAGUAGGCUUCUCGCAAAGCUAAACUCAAAAAGCCAAUCUCAAAGAGCAAUCCAGCUUCUCUCUUUCUCCUCCACCCUGAGACGAGACAUUGUUGUGUAGUUGAGAUGUUCUCUAUUCUGGCCAUUGAAGAUACACAUUUCACAGGGAGCCAAUCCAGAAGUCAAGGAUCCAAAGACGGUUGUGGGCUGAUUUCAUGGAUCAUCCAGAUUAUGGAGCAAGCAUAAAAUCCAGGUAAAGACAAAGUGUGAUCGUUGAAUCAAGGCAAUGAAGAGGAGGAUGUUCUAGUGGCUCGAAUUAGUUGUGGUCUGGGUUUUGUAGGUUGCUAGAGCUGAGUCCUUAGAAUGUUGUCUAAGACUGCUGGUUCUUUGAUUUAUGAUUAGAUUGGUUAUUGGUAAUUUCUUUGGUUUAAUAGUAUCGUUUAUGUUA